CAAAAACUGUUGAACUGUAAAUAAUGGUCAUGGUUUCUCCUCCCACUACCGCAUGAGUAAGCAUCGGGCUUCCAAAAGACGGCUACCAAAAUCAACAGAACCAAAAAUGACAUGUAUCAUGUUCCUUUUUAAUGUCUCUGUUAGUUAAUGAACCACAGCACACAUGGUUUUUCUGUGCUGUCUUUUCCACACUCACAAACCUCAGGUAACAGGAAGAUAAACUCCAAUGUGUUUAUUUACUUAAUACCGAUAGGUGAGCUGGGCAAAAUUUCCAACCCCAAAAAACGUGCAAAAUUUGGUUCCUGAGGUAAUUCUUAUGGAAAAUCUUAAAUCCACUAGUUACAUUUGCUAAGUAAAAAAAAAAUCACAAACCUAUGUAAAACAUGUGGCAAUGCUGUUUUAUUAAUAAUUCGAAAUGAAAAAUAUGAAAUAAUGUAGCUACCACCCCAUGGAAAUGCUAGUCAAGGAACACAAGAAAGAUGCCUCUAAAAAAAAUGCAUGCAUCUUUCUAUACACUUAGAAUGUACCUUUUAAAAUGAUUCAAAUGGCAUUGAGGUGGGGGGGAAUUAACAGUGACAAUAUCAAGCCAGGAAUUUUAGGACAAGUGUGGAAACACGACUUCAUGCUGAUGGAACCCAAACUUUAAGAGCUAUUCCGUCUCUGAAGAAGUGGGGCUGCCACGAAACCCGUUAGACUAAGACUAAUCAAGCAGGAUACGGAUGAAGUCUUUGAUCCAACAGUAGGAGCCUUAUCUCUACCGGAAAUUUCCCACGAUCUGGGGACCGAUUGGCCCGCAGCGUCCAUCUCUCAGAGUGAGGUCUGAGACGCACGCUAACCUCACUGGCAGCUGACAGCUAGAGAGAUUGUUUUGUUACAAACUAUCCGCAUCAAUCCUAGCCAGUCCCUGUGGAUAAUUCAGAAUACGGACUACUAUUCUGCUGAUAAUAUUCUUGCAUACCGUUCCUGGC